rnacentral:misc_RNA from 1 species
GUAGGUGAACCUGCGGAAGGAUCAUUAACAAAUCCACUGCUAUAUAUAUAGCAUGUUCGUUCCCCUCUGCUUCUGGCGGAGGGAGAUAUUCAUUGAUUUAUUGACUGAACCGCGAUUAUAAGAUACAACAACUUUUAACAAUGGAUCUCUUGGCUCUU